UACGUAGGGUGCAAGCGUUGUCCGGAAUUAUUGGGCGUAAAGAGCUCGUAGGCGGUUUGUCGCGUCUGCUGUGAAAACCCGAGGCUCAACCUCGGGCCUGCAGUGGGUACGGGCAGACUAGAGUGCGGUAGGGGAGAUUGGAAUUCCUGGUGUAGCGGUGGAAUGCGCAGAUAUCGGGAGGAACACCAAUGGCGAAGGCAGCUCGCUGGGACGGUACUGACGCUGAGACGCGAAAGCGUGGGGAGCAAACAGG
rnacentral:rRNA from 1 species